rnacentral:rRNA from 1 species
UACGUAGGGGGGCGAGCGUUGUCCGGAUUCAUUGGGCGUAAAGAGCUCGUAGGCGGUUCAGUAAGUCGGGUGUGAAAUCUCCGUGCUCAACACGGAGCGGCCACCUGAUACUGCUGUGACUCGAGUCCGGUAGGGGAGUGUGGAAUUCCCGGUGUAGCGGUGAAAUGCGCAGAUAUCAGGAGGAACACCGGUGGCGAAGGCGGGUCUCUGGGCCGAUACUGACGCUGAGGAGCGAAAGCGUGGGGAGCGAACAGG